GGAGGAAUAUUGGGCAAUGGGGGAAACCCUGACCCAGCAACGCCGCGUGAAGGAAGAAGGCCUUCGGGUUGUAAACUUCUGUGACAGGGGAAGAAAGAAAUGACGGUACCCUGAGAGGAAGCCACGGCAAACUACGUGCCAGCAGCCGCGGUAAUACGUAGGUGGCGAGCGUUGUCCGGAAUCACUGGGCGUAAAGGGCGCGUAGGCGGUUUGACAAGUCGCAUGUGAAAUACCAGGGCUCAACUCUGGGGGGUCAUGCGAAACUGUUGGACUUGAGUGUAGUAGAGGAAAGCGGAAUUCCUGGUGUAGCGGUAAAAUGCGUAGAGAUCAGGAGGAACACCGGUGGCGAAGGCGGCUUUCUGGGCUAUAACUGACGCUGAGGCGCGAAAGCGUGGGGAGCAAACA
rnacentral:rRNA from 1 species